rnacentral:rRNA from 2 species
GGCGCGGCCGUCCGGCGGGGCUCCUUUACUGGGGCCGUUUGUCUGGUUUUCGGCCGCCCCAUUCUCGGGUAGCGUGUCGCUGGCAUUAGGUUGUCGGCUUCUUCGCGCCCGU